rnacentral:rRNA from 1 species
UUCACUAGUGAUUCGUAUUACCGCGGCUGCUGGCACAUGAUCAAACCCUAAUUCAAUUGCGACCGUCAUAAUCGUCACUAGCAUGAGCAGUUUAACCCUAAGGCAUUCAUCCUGCACGCGGCGUUGCUCCAUCAGACUUUCGUCCAUUGUGGAAAAUUCCCUACUGCUGCCUCCCGUAGGAGUCUGGGCCGUUCUCAGUCCCAGUCUGGCUGAUCAUCCUCUCAGACCAGCUAAUGAUCAUCGUCUUGGUGAGCCAUUACCUCACCAACUAACUAAUCAUGCGCAGGCCGUUCCCAAAGCGCCCGAAGGCUUUAAUCCGGAGAUCACAUGCGGUAUUAGCUACUCUUUCGAGCAGUUAUCCCUCACUUUGGGGUACUCCUACGUGUUACUCAGCCGUCCGCCGCUGUACCCCCGAAGGGGCCUUACCGCGGACUUGCAUGUAUUAGGCACGCCGCCAGCGUUCAUCCUGAGCCAUGAUCAAACUCUAAUCGAAUUCCCGCGGCC